rnacentral:lncRNA from 1 species
CGGGGAGCAACAAAGAAAACACCAAAAAAGAUGUUGUACCAGUACAUAUUGAUCAAGAGUCUCAUUCGGUGGAGAAGGCGAAAAAUAAUGAAAGAGACAGAGAGGAUCAUGGCAGCACAGUAGGGAACAUAUGGAGGGAAGAAGAUGAAAUAUUUGAACAUGAAGGUAGUUCUAACGUCUUAGAAGAAGGAGUCAAAGACUUGCAGGAACUAACAAAUGAAGAGAAACAACA